CCUCCUAUCGAUCCUCCAGCAAGCUCAUCGGGCCUGUGGACAAGGACAGGUUUGAGGAGAGGAUUCCCCGGAUCGUGGAGGGGCUACAGAACCGCGCAGCCCGUUCCGAGAAUGCAAAGGGGCCCGGGCAGAAGGGAAGUGGCCGUGCCCGGGCCUUCCUGCCACUAGAUCCCCACCCACCUAUGACUGCUCAGUCCUGCUCUCCUGCCAGACCCACCUUUUCCUGGCCCAAACCAGCGCACCCCGCGCACUCUUUGCUCAGUCCAAACUCCGAGGCUGGGGGAGGCCAAACCCGGGGCAGUCUCUGGGUGAACAACAGCGUGUCUACCGGCAGCGAACCGAGACCAGCGAGCCGACCAUGCGACUGCACCGACUUGGCGCGCGGCUGAGUGCGGUGGCCUGUGGGCUCCUGUUGCUUCUCGUCCAGGGCCAGGGCCAGGACUCUGCCAGUCCCAUCCGGACCACACACACGGGCCAGGUGCUGGGGAGUCUUGUCCAUGUCAGGGGCACCGAAACCGGGGUCCAUACCUUCCUGGGAAUUCCCUUUGCCAAGCCACCUCUCGGUCCGCUGCGAUUUGCACCCCCUGAGCCCCCUGAAUCUUGGAGUGGUGUGAGGGAUGGAACUACCCAUCCGGAUGCGUGUCUUCAGGACCUCACCAUAAUGGAUUUAGAGGUUCAGAGCCAAGUCAAUGUAACCAUCCCUUCCGUCUCCAUGUCUGAGGACUGCCUGUACCUCAGCAUCUACACGCCGGCCUAUAGCCAUGAAGGCUCUAACCUACCGGUGAUGGUGUGGAUCCACGGUGGUGGACUUGUUUGUGGCAUGGCUUCCAUGUAUGAUGGUUCCAUGCUGGCCGCCUUUGAGAAUGUGGUGGUGGUCACCAUCCAGUACCGCCUGGGUGUCCUGGGCUUCUUCAGCACUGGAGACAAGCAUGCAACCGGCAACUGGGGCUACCUGGACCAAGUGGCCGCACUACGCUGGGUCCAGCAGAAUAUCGCCUACUUUGGAGGCAACCCUGACCGUGUCACCAUUUUUGGCGAGUCUGCGGGUGGCACGAGUGUGUCGUCGCUUGUUGUGUCCCCCAUGUCCCAAGGACUCUUCCAUGGGGCCAUCAUGGAGAGUGGCGUGGCCCUGCUGCCUGGCCUCAUUGCCAGCUCAGCAGAUGUUAUCUCCACGGUAGUGGCCAGCCUGUCUGCUUGUGAGCAAGUUGACUCUGAGGCCCUAGUGGGCUGCCUGCGGGGCAAGAGUAAAGAGGAGAUUCUUGCAAUUAACAAGCCGUUCAACAUGAUGAUCCCUGGUGUAGUGGAUGGGGUCUUCCUGCCCAGGCAUCCACAGGAGCUGCUGGCCUCUGCCGACUUUCAAGCUGUCCCCAGCAUCAUUGGUGUCAACAAUGAUGAAUUCGGCUGGAUCAUCCCCAAAGUCACAGGUAUCUAUGACACCCAGAAGGAAAUGGACAGAGAGGACUUCCAGGCUGUUCUGCAGAAAAUGUUAACGCUGAUGAUGUUGCCUCCUACAUUUGGUGACCUGCUGAUGGAGGAGUACACUGGGGACAAUGGGAAGCCCCAGAGCCUCCAAGCCCAGUUCCAGGAGAUGAUGGCAGACUCCAUGUUCGUGAUCCCUGCACUCCAAGUAGCACAUUUUCAGCGUUCCCGGGCCCCUGUGUACUUCUAUGAGUUCCAGCAUCAGCCCAGCUGGCUCAAGAACAUCAGGCCGCCGCACGUGAAGGCAGACCAUGGUGAUGAGCUUCCUUUUGUUUUCGGAACUUUAUUCUGGGGCAACUACGUUAAAUUCACUGAGGAGGAGGAGCGGCUAAGCAGAAAAAUGAUGAAGUACUGGGCCAACUUUGCUCGAAAUGGGAACCCCAACGGCGAGGGUCUGCCACACUGGCCGCUGUUCGACCAGGAGGAGCAAUACCUGCAGCUGAACCUACAGCCUGCCGUGGGCCGGGCGCUGAAGGCCCACAGGUUCCAGUUCUGGAAGAAGGUGCUGCCCCAGAAGAUCCAGGAGCUCGAAGAGCCUGAAGAGAGACACAUAGAGCUGUAGCUCCCAGUGCCAGGGAGGAGGGGUUGGGCUCGCUUACAGGCGAGCAUCAGCCUGAUGUGCCCACACACGCCCACUGAGGAGAAAGAAGUUGAUUCCUUCAUUCAUGUAGCCAUUCAUUCAUUCUUCCGUCCAUCCAUUCAGAAAGCAUUUAUUAAGAACUUACUCAGGCAUGAGGGCUCAUAUAUGUAAUCCCAGCUAUUGGGGAGGCUGAGAUGGGAGGAUGGCUUGAGGCCAGAGGUUAGAGACCAGUCAGGGCAACACAGUGAGACCCCUUCUCA